rnacentral:rRNA from 1 species
AGGGAAUCUUCCACAAUGGACGAAAGUCUGAUGGAGCAAUGCCGCGUGAGUGAAGAAGGUUUUCGGAUCGUAAAGCUCUGUUGUAAGGGAAGAACAAGUACAGGAGUAACUGUCUGUACCUUGACGGUACCUUACCAGAAAGCCACGGCUAACUACGUGCCAGCAGCCGCGGUAAUACGUAGGUGGCAAGCGUUGUCCGGAAUUAUUGGGCGUAAAGCGCGCGCAGGCGGUCCUUUAAGUCUGAUGUGAAAGCCCACGGCUCAACCGUGGAGGGUCAUUGGAAACUGGAGGACUUGAGUACAGAAGAGGAAAGCGGAAUUCCACGUGUAGCGGUGAAAUGCGUAGAGAUGUGGAGGAACACCAGUGGCGAAGGCGGCUUUCUGGUCUGUAACUGACGCUGAGGCGCGAAAGCGUGGGGAGCAAAC